CAUCUCCGCAGGCUGCGGCCCAGGCUGGGCUGGGCGAGGAGCUCUUCGAAAGGUUCACACUCAAGCAUGACUAGGAGC
rnacentral:pre_miRNA from 1 species